rfam:Felis catus isolate Cinnamon breed Abyssinian chromosome X, whole genome shotgun sequence.
ACCUGGGUGGCUCAGUCAGUUAAGCGCCUGACUUCAGCUCAGGUCGUGAUCUCGCAGUUAGUGGGUUCGAGCCCCACUUCGGGCU